rnacentral:rRNA from 1 species
UACGGGGGGGGGCAAGCGUUGUUCGGAAUUACUGGGCGUAAAGGGCUCGUAGGUGGCCAACUAAGUCACACGUGAAAUCCCUCGGCUUAACCGGGGAACUGCGUGUGAUACUGGAUGGCUUGAGUUUGGGAGAGGGAUGCGGAAUUCCAGGUGUAGCGGUGAAAUGCGUAGAUAUCUGGAGGAACACCGGUGGCGAAGGCGGCAUCCUGGACCAAUACUGACGCUGAGGAGCGAAAGCCAGGGGAGCAAACGGG